AUUGAACGCUGGCGGCAGGCCUAACACAUGCAAGUCGAACGAGUGGCGGACGGGUGAGUAAUGUCUGGGAAACUGCCUGAUGGAGGGGGAUAACUACUGGAAACGGUAGCUAAUACCGCAUACCAUCGGAUGUGCCCAGAUGGGAUUAGCUAGUAGGUGGGGUAAAGGCUCACCUAGGCGACGAUCCCUAGCUGGUCUGAGAGGAUGGCCAGCCACACUGGACCUGAGACGGUGUCCAGGCUCCUACGGGAGGCAGCAGGGGGGAAUAUUGCACAAUGGGCGCAAGCCUGAUGCAGCCAUGCCGCGUGUAUGAAGAAGGCCUUCGGAUUGUAAAGUACUUUCAGCGGGGAGGCGUUACCCGCAGAAGAAGCACCGGCUAACUCCGUGCCAGCCGCCGCGGUAAUAC
rnacentral:rRNA from 1 species